rnacentral:tRNA from 1 species
GGCCUUGUAGCUCAGCUGAUAGAGCGUGUGGUGUACACUACAAAAGAGUAGUCAGCGUCCAUGCGUGGGUUCGAAUCCCACCGAGGUUA